rnacentral:rRNA from 1 species
ACGCUAGCUACAGGCUUAACACAUGCAAGUCGAGGGGCAGCAUGUUGGUUGCUUGCAACCAAUGAUGGCGACCGGCGCACGGGUGAGUAACGCGUAUCCAACCUACCCAAUACUCAGGCAUAACCCGUUGAAAGACGGACUAAUUCCUGAUGGUAUGUAUUUUUCUCAUGAUUUAUACAUUAAAGAAUUUCGGUAUUGGAUGGGGAUGCGUCUGAUUAGUUUGUUGGUGAGGUAACGGCUCACCAAGACUUCGAUCAGUAGGGGUUCUGAGAGGAAGGUCCCCCACAUUGGAACUGAGACACGGUCCAAACUCCUACGGGAGGCAGCAGUGAGGAAUAUUGGUCAAUGGAUGAAAAUCUGAACCAGCCAAGUAGCGUGCAGGAUGACGGCCCUAUGGGUUGUAAACUGCUUUUAUGUGAGAAUAAAGUUAGGUAUGUAUGCUUAUUUGCAUGUAUCACAUGAAUAAGGACCGGCUAAUUCCGUGCCAGCAGCCGCGGUAAUACGGAAGGUCCAGGCGUUAUCCGGAUUUAUUGGGUUUAAAGGGUGCGUAGGCCGUUUGAUAAGCGUGCUGUGAAAUAUAGUGGCUCGACCUCUAUCGUGCAGCGCGAACUGUUGAACUUGAGUGCGUAGUAGGUAGGCGGAAUUCGUGGUGUAGCGGUGAAAUGCUUAGAUAUCACGAAGAACUCCGAUUGCGAAGGCAGCUUACCGUAACGUUACUGACGCUUAAGCACGAAGGUGCGGGUAUCGAACAGGAUUAGAUACCCUGGUAGUCCGCACAGUAAACGAUGGAUGCUCGCUGUUGGCCUUUGGUGGUCAGUGGCUUAGCGAAAGCGUUAAGCAUCCCACCUGGGGAGUACGCCGGCAACGGUGAAACUCAAAGGAAUUGACGGGGGCCCGCACAAGCGGAGGAA